GAAAGCGUGGGGAGCGAACAGGAUUAGAUACCCUGGUAGUCCACGCCGUAAACGAUGAGAACUAGAUGUUAGGGGGCUUAGACCUUUUAGUAUCGCAGCAAACGCGUUAAGUUCUCCGCCUGGGGAGUACGGCCGCAAGGUUAAAACUCAAAUGAAUUGACGGGGGCCCGCACAAGCGGUGGAGCAUGUGGUUUAAUUCGAUGCAACGCGAAGAACCUUACCUACCUUUGAAUCCACGGAAUCUUGCAGAAAUGUGAGAGUGCCUUCGGGAACCGUGAGACAGGUGCUGCAUGGCUGUCGUCAGCUCGUGUCGUGAGAUGUUGGGUUAAGUCCCGUAACGAGCGCAACCCUUGUCCUUAGUUACCAGCGAGUUAUGUCGGGGACUUUAAGGAGACUGCCGGUGAUAAACCGGAGGAAGGUGGGGAUGACGUCAAGUCCUCAUGGCCCUUACAGGUAGGGCCACACACGUGCUACAAUGGCCGGUACAAAGGGUUGCCAACCCGCGAGGGGGAGCUAAUCUCAAAAAGCCGGUCGUAGUCCGGAUUGGAGUCUGCAACUCGACUCCAUGAAGCUGGAAUCGCUAGUAAUCGCGGAUCAGAACGCCGCGGUGAAUACGUUCCCGGGCCUUGUACACACCGCCCGUCACACCAUGGGAGUGGGUUGUACCAGAAGCAGGUAGACUAACCGAAAGGAGGUCGCCUACCACGGUAUGAUUCAUGACUGGGGUGAAGUCGUAACAAGGUAACC
rnacentral:rRNA from 1 species